AGUGAACGCUGGCGGUAGGCCUAACACAUGCGAGUCGAACGGCAGCACAGUAAGAGCUUGCUCUUACGGGUGGCGAGUGGCGGACGGGUGAGGAAUACAUCGGAAUCUACUUUUUCGUGGGGGAUAACGUAGGGAAACUUACGCUAAUACCGCAUACGACCUACGGGUGAAAGCAGGGGAUCUUCGGACCUUGCGCGAUUGAAUGAGCCGAUGUCGGAUUAGCUAGUUGGCGGGGUAAAGGCCCACCAAGGCGACGAUCCGUAGCUGGUCUGAGAGGAUGAUCAGCCACACUGGAACUGAGUCACGGUCCAGACUCCUACGGGAGGCAGCAGUGGGGAAUAUUGGACAAUGGGCGCAAGCCUGAUCCAGCCAUACCGCGUGGGUGAAGAAGGCCUUCGGGUUGUAAAGCCCUUUUGUUGGGAAAGAAAAGCAGCAGGUUAAUACCCCGCUGUUCUGACGGUACCCAAAGAAUAAGCACCGGCUAACUUCGUG
rnacentral:rRNA from 1 species